AUGAUCUGGGAGGUCUUUGCCAACCUGAAUGGUUCUGUGAUUCUGCGUAACAAUACAGCCAAGGAGCUGCCUGCUGUGGGGACACCUCUCCAUGGAGGGACCGAGGGACCAGCCGGGGGGGCUGCGGCCACAGGGAGCCCCCCCCGGUUACCUCAGACCGCGCUGAGGCGAGGCCCCGGCGCCUCCCAGGGGGGAGCCUCCCCUCAGCGCUCCCUCUCCUGCCCGCCCGGCUCAGCAACAGGUCUGUGCCGGGGGCGGAGAAGGGGGCUGUGUGUGUGUGUGUGUUUUGGGGGGGGGGACCCCGCUUCUCCCCGCGGCGUGCCAGGCCCCCAGGCGGCGUGCCAGGCGAACAAAGGGGCCGAGCGCGGAGCGGGCUCCCGCGUUCAGCCAUUUGCAGCGCCCCGCCGCUCCCCACCCCCUUCCUCCCCCUUCCCCGCCGGCGCAGGCUCCGGCUCGCCUCGGAGCCGCCACCACCGCCAGCACCACACCACCACCGCCAGCACCACGCCGGGCCCGAGGUGGGGCCGGGCCGGCUGCGGGCUGUGGGCUGCGGGGCGGGGCGGGAGGCGGGCGGGCAGCCCUGCGGGAGCCCUGCCGGGAGCGCCGCGCUGCUCAACGCGCGUCUCCGCGCUGCCGCAAGUGGGAGUGCAUAUAAGGAGCAGUGAGAUGAAGAAACCUCUGUGAUGUUCAUGCCAAGGAGACUUUGGCUCAUGGGGAAUCUCCUUCUAGAACAGACUGCAACCACUCUCUUCCCCUGAAAUAGCUGCACAUGGUGAACAAGCUAUGAUAGUACUCCUAACUCUCUGACUUCAAAGGACAUUUCUUUCUCAUUGCCCAGUGCAGUGGGGGACUGGUUGUCACAAAAGGAUGCUGCGCAUAAAAACUUCAUAAAAUUUUUCAUAUAAUAACAGGAAAACCAGAACAGCUUUUCAGGCUGUCGAGGUGCGAUACCAACACCGGGAAGAGGUUUAGGCUCUCACCGACAGCAUCUGACAGGGGAGAACGAAGGUGGUGCAGGCUGGGCCGCGGAGGCUCAGUGCUCUGCACUGUUCCCCGCAGGUGAUGGGCAUAGCGGUGUGGCCGAGAGCCGUCCCCUGCAGCGCCACGCAGGGCCAGAGCAGCUAGCCUGGCCGUGGUGGAGGGCGGCUCCAUGGAGGGCAGCGGCGCAGUGGAGGAGGAGGAGAGCGGGGCCGGGCCCGGCACCCCACCGCUCACCUUGGCCUCCCCUUGCGGCUUCAGCUCCUCCCUGUGCUUCAGCGCUGCCACCACCGAGUGUGGGGCCCCGUCGCCAGCCUCCACCGGUGGCCGCGUGGUGGAGAGCCAGUGGGAGAUCAACAGCGCAGCCUCCGAGUCGGAGGAGGAGGAGGCCAACAACACACAGGGGACACCGUCGGGCACGCAGCCCAUAGGGCGGCCGGUGGAGGAGC
rnacentral:lncRNA from 1 species